CAUGCCCGGCCAAUUUUCUUAUUUUUUAUUCAUUAUUAUUUUUCUUUUUUUUACCUCUGGAACAUAGCACAUUUUCUAACAUAGCCACUGAGAGGAAAACCCAAGCAGUGGUUUGUCCUUGCUGCCUGCACAAAGCCCAGGCCCACAUGCUUGUAACUCCAUCUGCACAAGAGGCUCUCCUCUCCACCCAGUCCCUCUUCGGGGCGGGGAGUCCUGGCAAAACGAGUGGCAAUGAAGUGCUUUUAUGUUACGAGGCUGUCAUGUAAAGCUGCUGAUAGAUUCAAUCCAUCUGUUCCACCUCAUUUCGAUUAAUCCUGGGAUCCCUAGGGCCUGAAACCAACUGCAAUCUGCACAAGCCCAGGAGCGCCGGCUCCCCUAACAAGGCCACCCGUGUCUCCGUACCCAGGGACCAACUCGGCCCGGCCGAGGCUACCACGUCAUCAGAAAACCCCCUCCCACGGAACACUUCCUAACUGCCUGUCCUUGUGGCUGCAUUCACAGAAACAAACAUAAGUCGGUUCUUUGUUCACAGAAAGGAAAACAAAUAUUUCCUUUGAGCUGACCCAGGAGGAGGAGAACCGCUGGGAAGGAGCACCUGGAAACUCAAACACCGCAGCAUGAGGGCAGAGCCGCUAACUCCUGCCUCUGCCUGUAACCUACUGUGUGGCCUCAGGCAAGUCACAGUCCCUCUCUGAGCCACACCCUCAUCUGUACCAGGAUCAGGACUCCACAGUCUCUAAAGGACUUCAGUCUCCUUCAGAAGGGGGAAGGGAGGGGCUGGAAAAAGAGACGCUGCUGGCAAGAGAGGCACAGCACAUCUUUAUGGCGUUAACUCGGCUGCCAGCUCUCACCAGCAGGCAAGUGCCCACGCGUCCAGAAGAACUCAGGGAACCCGGCAGGGAGGGAACCAGAGGAUGUUUCAAGUAACCCCAGGAGCUCCUGCCACCUUCCCUUUAGGGCUGGGUGAUGCCCUGGAUUGCUCUGUGGGCAGACCUGUCUUAUCUGAUGCCAGGAAGGGCCUGUUCUGAGCCCCUGAGCCAAAGAAGGGGGCGGGGGGCAGCCCCAGAAACACGGGCAGGACACGGCAUUCGACUCCUUGGAAGAGAACCUCUGCCCAUAAACAGUAGUUCAGGAACCAUUUUACAAGAGGAAUGCAAGCCGGGUCUCUGCAUCGGGCUUUAGGAACGACCUGCUGCAGUGAUGCCUCGGCAACCACAGUCCCACGAUGAAGGACAACUGAGAACCAGAUGUGCACAGAACCACCGUUCAGGGAGUCUGGACCCAGCCCUGUCUGCACGUUAUCUAAACGGUGACAGCAGCAGCUUUGGAGUCCCCUCUGCCGGCUCCACCACCACGUUGCUGCUGGGCCUCGGCAUCAAGCCCUGCCAGGUGGCCAGAAAGGCAGGUGGCCGGGCAGGCAGGCAUCACUUAACCUAGCGACAAUCAAGCCUGUGCCUGGCAUGAAGUCAGGCCCCCGGAGGUGCUGGCUGAACCUGAGGCCUUUCCUAGCCGUCAGGUUUUGCUGGGCACUGUGCUCUCAACAUGCUCCGGGGCGACACACCAUCCUCCCUCCUGCUUCAACACAGGGCAGCUCUGCAGGGGGCAAACACAGGAAGCCACAGUCACCACAGUGAGCCCAUAAAGGAAGACAGUCCCAGCUACCUGUGUGUGCGAGGAGUGGGGUCCAUUCUAGAGAUCCCCAGGAAUGCACAAACCGUCCCCAGCCCCUGGGCUCAGGACCAAGGAGGAAGAACUGAGCUGGGACAUCUGCUGGGGCCACCUUCUCUCUUCUCCCUCUGGCCUCAGGAGGGCCAAGAAAAACACACACGAUACCAGUGCCCUAUGGUGGUCUGGACUCAAGAGAGCUGGCUUGGACGCUAUGCUGAGAACACUAGGGGCAGGUCUGGCCCUGGGAGCAAGUGUGCCACGGUUCAUCAGUGACAUCUGCCUGGGGCCAAGCAGAACUUGUGCUGGUCAAAUAGCAAA
rnacentral:lncRNA from 1 species